UACGAAGGGGGCUAGCGUUGUUCGGAAUUACUGGGCGUAAAGCGCACGUAGGCGGACUAUUAAGUCAGGGGUGAAAUCCCGGGGCUCAACCCCGGAACUGCCUUUGAUACUGGUAGUCUCGAGUCCGGAAGAGGUGAGUGGAAUUCCGAGUGUAGAGGUGAAAUUCGUAGAUAUCAGGAAGAACACCCGUGGCGAAGGCGGCUCUCUGGAACGCAACUGACGCUGAGACGCGAAAGCGUGGGGAGCAAACAGG
rnacentral:rRNA from 1 species